AAUAUAUGUCUCCCUCCUUUUCCCUUUCUGUUUCUUUUGUAAAAUGUCAUUCUGUAAUCAUCUAGAGAGCUGUGUUUUAAAGAGGAAAAAGUAUUUCCAUUAAAAUAUACUCUUGUUUUUCAUUUUAUUUUAGAUUAGGCGGGAAGGUGUUCGUCUUUUCUUGUUAUGGUUGCAAGCUCUUCAAAAUAACUGUAGCAGAGAACAACUCUGGAUGUUUUCAUGCUUAAUCCCUGGGUUCUCGGCACCACAAUCUGAACAUGGACCUCGAACUUUAGAUAAUCUUAUUAAUCCUCCACUCAACCUUCAAGAAACUCAAGUCACUAUAGAGGAAAUCACUCCUCUUGUCCCCCCACAAUCAGGAGAUAAAGGACAAGAAGAUCUCACAAGCUACUUUCUUGAAGCACUUUUAAAAUACAUAGUAAUUCAGGUUAAAAGUUUAGAAUGGAAGAACAAAGAAAACCAAGAAAGGGGAUUUUCAUUUUUGUUUUCACAUUUUAAGAAAUAUUAUUUACCUUAUAUUUUUCCAAACAUCUGCAAGGAGAACAGUUUAUAUCAUCCUGCACUUGAUAUCCCACAGAUAAGACCAAAGCCACAUUAUGUCAUGAUAAAGAAGGAUGCUGAAACCAAUGAAGCAAUCUAUUGUACAAAAGAGCCUUUCAUUAAAGCUCGUGUAAUAGUAAUUCGUUGGCUGGUUUCUUUUUGGCUGGAGCCAAAACCACAUGCCGGACCUCAUAUUCCUGGGAUGGAAGGUGAAGUCUUGCCAAAGAAUAUUCAGGCAUUUUUAUUACCAAUUUGUGAAGCAGCAGCUAUGAGAAAAGUGGUAAAAGUGUAUCAAGAAUGGAUCCAACAAGAGGAAAAACCUUUGUUUAUGCAAGAACCUGAAGAAAUUAUGAUCACUUCUUCAGAUAUACCUUGCAUUGAAAAUGCCAAAGACCAUGAUAUUUCAGUGGAAGAAGGAGAAAAAAGGGAAGAGGUAAAAUUAUAACAUAUAUAUGUGUGUGUGUGUUAGUGUGUGUUUUUAAGUUUCACAAAAGUGUGGUAAUGUGUUAACACAAGUAUACUUAAGUGAGAUAAAGAUAUCUCAGUAUAUAUGCAGUUUAGG
rnacentral:lncRNA from 1 species